CUUCCGACAAAAUAAUUAUCGCUAUCAGCGCUUUCAAAACUUGCUAUUCGGUCGAGCUCUUCCCCGCUUCAGAAGACUCCAUUCUCUCCGAAGUUUUUGUUCAAUGUCAAAGUGACAGUCCCUAGGAGGUCUUCUUCCCACGGGUUAAUUGCCUUAUUUAUUAAAUUCACAGACGAGGACGAGUCGCUUGCUUAUUUUUAGAUUCAACCAUGGUUAGCUCUUAUCUAGUGAUUCAGACGUUAUCUAGCCUCGCUAUCGGAUGGAAUAUCAUAACUUGAGAUCCCGUAUCUACUGAUAAGUUUCCUCGCAAGCUGGUUGACAAAAAAAAAAAAAAAAAAACUGACGAAUUAGAAAGGUACAGUACCCAGAAGUAUAAUUACCCAGUCGAUGUCAUGCUGGAUAUAAGAAGUCAUAAACUUUUGCAAAGAGAAAUAUUCAUUGGGCAACUAUGAGUUGCAUUUUGGAACAAAUGUUUCAGAAGCUAACAUUGAGAAGAUUACAGGAACAACUUUUGAAAAUUCCUUGAUAAUCGCUGAUAAAUAGAAAACAGGAAAUACGCAUUAAUGGACAAUACGAAAUGCCCACGAAAUUAUUUUCCUCACUUAAAAUCAGGGAUUAAGACUGAUUCAACGGAAGAGAGAUAUGCUGAGAAGCAAAAGCAGCAUACCCCUCCACGUGGAAAGAAAUGUCAAGGCGACAUUGUAUACAUACAGAAUCCACUGUUCCAAAACUUCUUUAACAACGGUUUAACAGAGUUCAAAGACACUACUGGCAGCUGUGAAUAUUAUUCAAGAAAUCUUACCACGAAUUCGAAUCACGAGGGUAAUUAUCGCCACAAAUUAUACUCUCAGGAUUGUAACUUCCAGAAAUUUCAACAUCGCGAAUGUAACGGUGCGCAAAUAAAUGUAACCCAUAAAACUCGCAAAAGUAGAACAAAAGCAAGGGCUAAAACGAGAAGAGAUAUGUUGAUUAAUGAAAGCUCGGACGACGAUUACUGCUCUGUGAAUUCUUCGUUUGACUUGCAAUUAGCAGGCAACAGAAAUUCUUUAAACAUGAAUGACGCGUACAACAGGAGAAGUCGUUCGGCUAGAACAGAAAGAUACCUUCGCCGGUUGUCCAAGGAUGAAAAUUAUUAUGACAAUGAAUUUUGCACUGCAAAGAUUAGCUCCCCUACAAGAUUUCAAGAUGGUAAAUCGGCCUCGAGAAAAUGGGAAAGUCAAGUUCCUGCCCCUUCAAAUAAUCUUGACGAAUGCAACCCUAACUUGUUUUAUUUCAACCACAAUGACACAGUAUUAAAUAAUCCUAUUUAUAAUUUAUCCCGAGCAGAUUCUCCAAUUCUUUACCGUAGGCCCAGAUCGCAGACUGGUCGAAAAGAGUUUACUGAAAAUCAAGCUCACGGCGGGGAUUUUAACUACAGCAGAACGCGUUGUUCCGAUCCUGGCACCGACGCUUUUCUCGCUUACAAGAAUAAUAAAUUGCCACGCCCGCCUGACUACCUCCAAUAUGUUGAGCCAAAAAUAUUCAAUCAUGAGCAGUCAACUCAGAUUAUGCAACUAAAUAAACCAGCAGCUACUCACCGGGUUAAACGUUCCAAUUCGUUUCAAAGUGAACCUUUAAAAGAGUACGAAGUGAGGAACCAUAUUUGGCUAACAAUGGGUAGAAAACCAAAAGCUGAAGCUGGUAAAUUGGGCACUAGCAUUUCAAGUACUGAAGACAAGUGGAUCGAUUCAGUCUUACCACCAGUAUCGCCAAAGCCUGUUCCUACAUCAAGACAAGCUGGAUUAGAUUUCCAGAGCAGAAUAAUGUCGCUGCCAAAAGAAACGAGCAAACUUACAGCGAGCAAUACCAAAAUACCACAAAUGACAGAUUUGUCAAAGAUGUACAAUUCCAGUUCCACGAAUCUGUUGUCGGACACUGAUAAAGAUCAACAGAUUGCUAAAAAACGAAGUUCGAAAGAUUUCAGCAAGGAAUUAUCGGAACUGGAAAAAAUGUACGACAGUCUCCGUCUCAGUGACGAUAAUUUGCUGGAUAGAGCCGAAGAGCGUUGCAUCGAAGAGUUUAGCCAAAAGGGACAAUCUCAAUCCUCAGCUACUGAGCAUGCCAAGUAUCUCUCGAGCAGUUCGUCAUCCGAGUCUCUAAACUUGGAGGAUGGUACAGCGGGAGAAAAGUAUUCCCAGCAGUCCAGUGAGCCGCACGUUGUUAACGACGAUAUGGCAUACAGAAAAAUGCAAUCCAAAAGAAUGCCGGCACUGUCAGAAACCCAGAAUUCUCUGUCGCAGAUAAGCUAUCUGCUUGCAUCAUCGGCGCUGAUCCUUGACAAGACCGAUUAUCCAGAUGAUACGAUUAAAUUGACCAAAGAGGAACCAAAUAUAACAAAAGAUGAUAUGGUUUAUCGAAAUUUACAUUACGCAAACAAUGUCCUCAGGGUUGUCGAGCCUCAGCCGCCGUUUGGAAUACCUCUGAGGCCAGCAACCCCGUCCACCAAUAGCAACUACUUGUGCUCCUCGCCUGUGGUUGUAAAAAGUCCUCCGUUGAAGUACGUGCCUCAAAGCGAACCAAAUCUAAUAACGGAUGACCUGGCGUUCAGGAAUCUUAGGAAAGAUGCUCCAAAGGCAGCUACACCGCAACCUGAGGAAGACAGUAAAAACGAAAUGAAUGUUUUCCUGUUCAACACAGAUAUGGAUAAAACGUCUAAGGACGAUCAGUUCUUUAGAAAGAAAAAGAAAGCUGUAAGAUCUUUGUCAGCCAAUUUAUAUGGUCUGAUAAAAGAAGUAAAUAAUUUAGAUUUGAACGUUAUGUAAUCGAAUACAUAAUCAUUAUAAAUAUAAUCCAUCAAAUAUAGAAUAUUAGCAGCUGCUUUCAGCGUGCGUUACUAAUUAUACAGUUGGAAUAUGUAAAUUUCGAUUUUUCAAUUACAUGACAUAAAUGAAUCGAAGUAGCUGUAAUCGGACUAUAUUUUUGCCAAAGAAAUAUUUCAUGCGGAGAAUAAAGAAUGUUUGAUAAAAUUUAUCGACUUAUUUACCAAAUUGAAUAGAAGAAUAAAAUUCGCUCAAGUUUUAAAGAGGUAGGGUGAAUAGGUAUUAGUAGCAGAGUUAUUGCUUUCAAGUAAAUAAAUUGUUGCGUUGUGCUUAGCUUUUAUUAGGGUGCCAAAAAACGACGUUUUGGGUGAUCAGUGCCUUGUAGUAUUUUUGUUGCAUGUAUAAAAGUGAUUACAAAUCUUGAAUGGUUAUUUAUGAAACUUGAAGUUCUUAAAAAAAAUUAUAUUAUAUACAUACACAUACUGUUUAUAUAUAUACAUAAUAUAUUGUUAACUAUAUUUUCUAACUGUAUUUAAGCGAUGAUUGAUAAGAACAAAAUAAAAUAAUAAAUAAAAAAAAAUCUGAAUAUGGCAUGUUACAUUAACUUGUUACUUUUCCUUCACUUAUAUUUUCAAUACGCAUGUUCUUGCAAAAUAAUAACAACACCACAUUAGAAUAACUUCAUUUCUGAUGUGUAGCAUUUAUUUUUAAACUGUGAAUUGGUGCAUUAUCGUAAGUUGAAGUAUGCGACAUCUUUUUUCGACCCAAAAACUUGAAUACCUGUACUCUUGGUUUUUCAAAAUUAACAAUCGUUGGGUUUUAGAUUUACCAAUAAGAAGAAGAAAAAAACAUUUAGUCAACACUCACAAUGAAACGGACCCAAAGCAAACGGUCAGGUUCAGGAUUGCCGAGAGGCGUAAGCUUGAAAAAACCGUUUGGCUUCUGCUGUGACGUCAAGAAUCAAGACUUGGACACUCGGUACGACAGGAGACAGCCGCCGUUCAAGACAUCAAUGGAAAAGAUAUUUUUAAAUGGCGGAGGACCGGACUUGAAACUGCGAAUUCAGGAUAUUGGCAAACCUCCUUAUCCUAUUCGCAGAGAGAGUCGAAGAACAUUGAUUGGGGCCCCGAUGGGUGAGUGUAACAGAUGUCGAGGCCCACUGAAAUGGUACCUCGAGGAUGAAAUAUCCCUUGCACGCGACUUGCUGGCUCACGACAGGCAAACUAAGUACAAUGCAGACGCUGACAAGCAGGUUAAUAUCGCUUUGAAAAAAGUGAGAAGAAAAAAGGAACUCAUGAAAAAACAGAGGCAAUAGAAGGUGAACUAGGAUGGAGUAUGUGACGUGAUAGGAAGUACUUGAGAUUAUUCUGUAAUUCUCACAAUUCUUCACAAUCUUGACUGAUCUAACAUCGGAUUCAUUUUUCCAGUGAUCCGGAAUUAAGGUAAUUUAUACAUAUGUUUUUACUUUUCUUACUAAUAAACAACGAAAUCGACAAGCAAUUAAAUUUUUCAAACCUUCUUUUACGCCUUAGUAAUUUAUUUUCUCGAUGUACAAUUACCACAGAAAACAAACUGGAAACAAAAAAAUAUAUAUCUAUAGCAUGUGAUCACAAAUUUUUUUCCACAACAUAUCCUGCGUUGUCUGUUGAUAUAAUAUAAUAUGAUACAGUCAAGCAUUCGCUGCUUUGAGAAAGUGUUCUUGGGUACAAUAAAAAGAUAAUAGCAUUGUUAAGUGUAAAUAUUUCUCAACAAGGAAGCGUCGAUGCAAUUGAGAGAAAAAUACAAAAUUAAAGAAUGAAGAAAAAGAACAAUAAUACAAAAAGUACCAAAUGAACAACAGAAAGGAAUAACGCAUGUCUUUCAAGAAAACAAUUAGAUACUGCGGAAUUAACUGCGCAAUGGCAAACAACUGUAUUGCCAUAAUUGGUCAUCACUACACAGAGGAACUUUUAAUAUAUCACAUUAGCAUAUCAUUAUACGACAGAAUUCAGCGGUUUCUUUGCAUAAGUUCAUUAUGUCAAUACUGCUGCCGCAGCUUCUGAAUGAGUAUGUAAAUAUACCACAGCAGUCACAGAAAAGUCAAAAGAUAUGAAUUUAUAAUAUGUGUCUAUAUAUAUUUGUAUGUAUAUUGUGCGGAGCCACAAAUUUCACCGUCAAUGCGAUUCUAUACUACAUUAAUUCUGAACAUUUGUUUUUCCUCUUUAUAUCAUUAUAUACAUUCACAAGAUAUUGAGCCAGCAUUCUAUAAAUCAAAGGUAUACUUGAACGUCAGCAGAAUGUAUUUUUGUCGUCUUUAAUGGAAUAUUGUGAAAAAAAUUUCCAGUUUAAAAGAAAUUCAAAUUUUAUUAACAACGUUUUUUCUCUCAAGUUUGUGCAAAGCAAAUUCUAAAAAACUAUACGGUGCAAAAAAACAAUUUUUUUGGCACAAUUUAUCCUACGUAAUUUACCACCCAACAUUUUGAAAUUUCGGUAAGGCACAAAGUAUUUAAAUUUAACAAAAAUUGUUUCAAAGAGAUAAAGAAGAAAUACGAAGUUUUAAUCCAACUGUUAAAAGUUAGAGUAUGCUACGAUUGGCUUAAUUACACCUGAUUGAGGGCCAAUUGCAACACUACAUAUUCUUAAAAUAUUAGAGAUAACACAUAAUUCUAACAAUUGCGUACAUAUAAAAAGAAUUAUCGCUUGAAUCAAAUAUUAUAUUACUAGAAAACAACUUUGAAUACUUGUAAGCUAAAAAGUAAUAAUUAUAACUGAAAUAAGUCUGUUGUAUUAAUACACAUAUCUUAAUAAAGAGGGU
rnacentral:misc_RNA from 1 species